GUGAGUUAUCAGAUUAAUGAUGUAGGACAGGUGUGUUAUCAGAUCAAUGAUGUAGGACAGGUGAUGUAGGACAGGUGAGUUAUCAGAUCAAUGAUUUAUGAAAGGUGAGUUAUCAGAUCAAUGAUGUAGGACAGAUGUGUUAUCAGAUUAAUGAUGUAGGACAGGUGAGUUAUCAGAUGAAUGAUGUAGGACAGGUUAUGUAGGACAGGUGAGUUAUCAGAUCAAUGAUUUAUGAAAGGUGAGUUAUCAGAUUAAUGAUGUAGGACAGGUUAUGUAGGACAGGUG